UAUAUACACAGGGGAGGGAAAAGGGAAGGAACAGCAGGAGAAUGACCAGGUCCCAUUGGAGGUGUGUGGUGGUGGUCUGAUAGCCAACGACAGACAUUGAGCAGUGACACCUCCCCAGUCAGCCUGGGGAGGGAGGAGGGACAAUGAAGGAGAGGGGGUGGGAAGCCGUCAAGAAUUUUAUAAAAGUUAGUGAUUAGAAGGACUGGGUAUCUUUGCCUGCAAACACCUCACCAGAAGCUUGUAGCAGCAGAGGGACUGCCUACAAAAAAGAACAGCUUUGCCUGAGUAACCAGACUUACUGAGGAACAGCUCUUUAAUGGAGGUCCACAGAGAAGUGAGGCCACAACUUGAUUUAUCCACUGCAAUGAGAAUACAAGGUGCCUAACCCAUUACAUGUCUGUCUCUCCCAAGCAUACAAGUGUAAAAGAGGAGUAAAUCCAGUCAGGUCAACACUGAGCCUGCAUGAAACAGGCUAAACUUUUGAAUACUCUUCAUUCUCUCUAUCAACUGUAUUUAUCCAUUUAUAUGUUCCACAUCUGCUUCUUCAAACCCUGCUCCUUGGAAGCAGAGUCUUUUGUGUGCAGAGUUUGUAUUGCUGACUGUCAGAGAUGGAGACACCACAGCCUCUCUCUUUAUUAGUAAUUGAUCAGGAAAAGCUACAUGCAUGAGAUACAAACUGUAGUUUGAGAGUUUGGUCCUGCACUUUUGGAACCAAUUUUAUAAGAGAUGGCAAUGAAGAGACCCAAGAAAAAAAUUUACAGAUUCUGAUCCAAUCUUUCCCAUCUGCAAACCAGGACUCAGGUGAGGUUUUUUGUAAGAUUAGAAGAUGUCACUUGAACUGUUUGGAAAGAAAAGACACCAAUGGAGUAUUAAUGUUUCUAAGAUGACCAGAAGGUAAAAUGUAACAUUGUUCCUUCUGCUUUUUGUCUUGACUGUGCUCUUUGGGUCUCAAUAUUAUCAGGAUACAGUGCUUGUGCUGAUAUCCAUGAAGAUACUUCCCCUCCUCCUUCAUGGUAGCUGAGUAAAGCAUGAGAUUUCAUGAGUAAAUAUUUACUUUUACAACUGUUCUAUCCCCUUUCCCCUACCCUCACCUCCUGCUGGCCACGAGCUGUGGACUGAACAAAACUUUGAUUGCUUAAUGAGCUGCUGGAACCUGACAAACACUCCAGGUAGCCACAAAACUGGUUUGUUUUUUAUUUGGUUUUGUGGUUUUCUUUUGUUCUGCAUUCUGUGUAGUUUUACUGUUUUGUGGUUUUUUUUCUUUUAAUUUUAGAAAAAGCUAUGUAAGCAGUUACUACAAACAGAAUGCUUUGUAUUAAUGCAAUGUAAAAUCAACAUGAAAUCACUUGAGCUUCUGACACUUAGCCCACAGCCUAAAAUGGGUAAAUAAAAAGAAAAAUUCUUGAAAAACUUUAGUGGUGGGACAAUUCCCAUGUAUUGUUACUGAUACCACAGCUCAUUUGAGCUUUUUUCUUCCUGGAAAGUUGACAAAUUAAACAGAUAAAUAAGGCAAAUAGACAAAUUUGUUCUUAGAAGACUGAAAUGAGCUGUGCAGCUCUGGCAGCCUGGGCACAACUGUUUUUCCUCAGGACCUGUGAGGUGACAUAUCCAGCUCUUUAAGGGGAGACGUUAAUGUUUCUGUGGAUGUGCUAGGAGCUUGCUCUUUACAGGGUAGCUGUAUGAAACAUUACUGAAGUGUAAGGCUUCUCCACUCCCCUUUAAAUGCUCAGAGCAGGACCUUACAGCAGAGACACCCUUUUUGAAUCCAACCAUGAAGAUCCUCAGAAAUUAUGCUCCUCAUGAAAGAAUCAUAGCAAAACAAAAUCCUAAAUCAAGGGGACUUGAACAUUCUGCACCUUUGAGCUAUUAUUAGGUUUACAAUUCCUCUUUUGCUCUCAUUUCUCCAUCAUUUCAGCUAGAAACAUUGUGCCUUUUAUUCAUCCUUGUAGCUCAGCAGGGUAGCUGGAAACCACUCACCAAAGCCUUAAAGAUAAUUUUGGGGAGACUUCUGGCAAAAUUCCACCUACUCCUUCACACUCAAUGAGAUCCUUGCAUAGAAACUGGAACUAAUCUGCUGUCUUCCAAUUCAUCCUUGUGGAACUACACUGUAUGGUUUCAGCUUCUCAGAGUACUCACUUGGAACAGCAUUAUUUGCUGAAAGCUUGUAUUUCUGUACUUCUGUGCUUUGCAGGCUGGCUUCGAGUGAUAACUGGCUCUUUGUUAUCUUUAGGGAAACACUGGAAAUAAGUAAGAAAGAGCAGACAUUAGUCUCACUGUUUAUUGCAUUGCUGGAAAGAAAAUGUGCCCACAA